rnacentral:rRNA from 1 species
AUUGAACGCUGGCGGCAGGCCUAACACAUGCAAGUCGAACGAGUGGCGGACGGGUGAGUAAUGUAUGGGAAACUGCCUGAUGGAGGGGGAUCACUACUGGAAACGGUAGCUAAUAACGCAUAUCAUCAGAUGUGCCCAGAUGGGAUUAGCUAGUUGGUGGGGUAACGGCUCACCAAGGCGACGAUCCCUAGCUGGUCUGAGAGGAUGACCAGCCACCCUGGACCUGAGCCACGGUCCAGACUCCUCCGGGAGGCAGCAGUGGGGAAUAUUGCACAAUGGGCGCAAGCCUGAUGCAGCCGUGCCGCGUGUGUGAAGAAGGCCUUCGGGUUGUAAAGUACUUUCAGCGGGGAGGCGUUACCCGCAGAAGAAGCACCGGCUAACUCCGUGCCAGCAGCCGCGGUAAUAC